ensembl:snoRNA
AGCCUUCUGGCUGCAUAAAAAGAGAAAGCAGACUAAGCCUACCCCUAUAUACACCUCAGCCCAGGCCUCACGCAUGGUCUGUAUUAUGAUGUAAGGACACAGAG